rnacentral:rRNA from 1 species
ACGUAGGAGGCAAGCGUUAUCCGUAGUUACUGGGCGUAAAGCGCGUGUAGGCGGCUCGGUAAGUGUGUCGUGAAAGCGCCCGGCUAAACUGGGCGAGGACGAUCGACACUGCCAGGCUAGAGGGUGGUAGAGGGACAGGGAAUUCCGGGUGUAGCGGUGAAAUGUGUAGAGAUCCGGAGGAACACCAGUGGCGAAGGCGCUGUCCUGGGCCACCUCUGACGCUGAUACGCGAAGGCGUGGGGAGCGAACGGG